rnacentral:rRNA from 1 species
AGAGUUUGAUUCUGGCUCAGGAUGAACGCUAGCGGCAGGCUUAACACAUGCAAGUCGAGGGGUAACGCGAGGUAGCAAUACUUUGGCGACGACCGGCGCACGGGUGCGUAACGCGUAUGCAACCUACCUGUAACAGGGGUAUAACGGGGUGAAAAUCCCACUAAUUCCCCAUAUUGUUAAAGAUUCGCAUGUUUCUUUAACGAAAGCUUCGGUGGUUACGGAUGGGCAUGCGUGACAUUAGCUAGUUGGUAAGGUAACGGCUUACCAAGGCGACGAUGUCUAGGGGAGCUGAGAGGCUUAUCCCCCACACUGGUACUGAGACACGGACCAGACUCCUACGGGAGGCAGCAGUGAGGAAUAUUGGUCAAUGGACGGAAGUCUGAACCAGCCAUGCCGCGUGGAGGAAGAAGGUCCUAUGGGUUGUAAACUCCUUUUGUUCCGGAGUAAUAAGGUCUAUGCGUAGACCGAUGAGAGUACGGGACGAAUAAGCAUCGGCUAACUCCGUGCCAGCAGCCGC